rnacentral:misc_RNA from 1 species
GUAUUGAUCGCGCGUCAUCGCGCAAAGACAUUCUACACUACGUUUGAAUGGGUGUUUAUAAUGUUAAAAACGUGAGCACCCCCCUCCCUCCUCCGAGGAAGGGGACCCACGCGGUGAUGCACAAAGGGGUGAGAUGGAUGUUUGUAUGUGAGAGCACUCGGGCGUGCACGACAAAAGUCAGCGACAGCCCUCGUAACCCCCAUCGUACGAUAAUGAUCCUUCCGCAGGUUCACCUACGGAAA